GACGAACGCUGGCGGCGUGCUUAACACAUGCAAUUCGAACGAUGAACUUGGAGCUUGCUCUGGGGGAUUAGUGGCGAACGGGUGAGUAACACGUGAGUAACCUGCCCUGGACUCUGGGAUAACUUCGAGAAAUCGGAGCUAAUACCGGAUAGGACCUUGCACCGCAUGGUGUGGGGUGGAAAGUUUUUCGGUUUGGGAUGGACUCGCGGCCUAUCAGCUUGUUGGUGAGGUAAUGGCUCACCAAGGCGUCGACGGGUAGCCGGCCUGAGAGGGUGACCGGCCACACUGGGACUGAGACACGGCCCAGACUCCUACGGGAGGCAGCAGUGGGGAAUAUUGCACAAUGGGCGCAAGCCUGAUGCAGCAACGCCGCGUGCGGGAUGACGGCCUUCGGGUUGUAAACCGCUUUUAGUAGGGAAGAAGCCUUCAGGUGACGGUACCUGCAGAAAAAGGACCGGCUAACUACGUGCCAGCAGCCGCCGUAACAC
rnacentral:rRNA from 1 species